ACGGUCAGUCGAGCGGAGGUGGUGCAGCAGAGUGGUCUACUCAAGUGUCGCGCCGCGCCUGUGACAUCGCGAUUCAAACAACACAUGCUGACGCGCUGUUGCUCUAUUACUCACUAAUGAAGUUUGUACGAAAUCUUGAUAUUUAUAAUAUGCAUUAUGGGUUGUACAAGCAGCGCGCCAACCGUAGCCAUCCCCGAUGCUAAUACGGCGUCAGAAGAAACUGUGAAUAUCGAACAAAAACUACAAGAAAAAAAUAUUAAUAAUCAAGAGAAAAUGUCAAAGGAGGAUCAAAAUGAAACAAACGACUCAAAUGUGCUUCCUAAGUGUGAUACCAUAUCGGAACCUAUCCAAGUAUUUAGUCAUAAUAAAUCAUUGACGGAUUUACGUAGUCUAGAAAAUAUGAGAGAAAACCAUGAAAUGGAAAAUGGUGAAGAAAAUAAUAAAGAUAAUACGCCAGUCGAUACAUUACACGACGAUAAAAUAUCUAGUUUAGAAAAUAUCGUUAAACGAGUAAUUGAGAGUAAGGUUACGGAAAAUAUUAUGAACCAUGGUGGCAAUUCUCAUAACGAAGAUCACAACAUUGAACAAACUAGUCAAGAACAUGACUCGGCUAUCACAUUACAAUUAAAUAACAUUCUUUUAACCAAUAUUGAAGAUGUUGAAAAAAACGACAAUUGCGAAGAAAAGGCCAGUCCAACCCAAUCAGAAUGUAGUCGCGUAACUCGAUGGGAAGCUUUAGCUGACAUUGCUGCAGAAUUACCACCUUCGCUUGCUGUUGAUCCUAUUACAGGACAAAUUUACACAUUAUCAAAAUAAAUUAGGAUCGAAGAACUGAAAAACAAUGCUUUCUUUACAUCAAUGUUAAAUGUAACUGCGGGUGCCAAUCAAUGAAUAAUCCACCGUGUUGUUCCGCACUCGACACUCGAAUAACGACCAAACGCAAGUGCCAUGCCGCUCCACGCGUGUAGUGUGUGUAGAUGAGCGUGAGUUACAACUAACUCUGUGUUAUUUUUAUGAUUUUGUCGCAUUGCUAUAUCUAGCCCUCAUAUAACAGGCUAGGCGUGUGCUGCAAGGAUACCACAUCCUUGAUAAGGUUUUUUGUAUUACCUGUUUAGUGAGUGAUGGCGCACCAACACGGUACCUACAUGUGCUUUAUCUGCCUGGUGGAUUUCACUUUAUUUUUAUAUGGAACUGAAUUGAUGCAAAGCUUAUUAUACAAUUACACAAGACAUCCAAAUAAGAAAUGCACACGAUCUUACUUAAUAUGUAUAAAAAAAAUAAAUGACGUCAAUUCAAUACUA
rnacentral:misc_RNA from 1 species